AGCGAACGCUGGCGGCAGGCUUAACACAUGCAAGUCGAGCGGGCAUCCUUGUGGUGUCAGCGGCAGACGGGUGAGUAACGCGUGGGAACGUGCCCUUCGGUUCGGAAUAACUCAGGGAAACUUGAGCUAAUACCGGAUACGUGCGAGAGCAGAAAGGUUUAUCUGCCGAAGGAUCGGCCCGCGUCUGAUUAGCUAGUUGGUGAGGUUAUGGCUCACCAAGGCGACGAUCAGUAGCUGGUCUGAGAGGAUGAUCAGCCACACUGGGACUGAGACACGGCCCAGACUCCUACGGGAGGCGGCAGUGGGGAAUAUUGGACAAUGGGGCAACCCUGAUCCAGCCAUGCCGCGUGAGUGAUGACGGCCUUAGGGUUGUAAAGCUCUUUUCUCCGGGACGAUAAUGACGGUACCGGAGGAAUAAGCCCCGGCUAACUUCGUG
rnacentral:rRNA from 1 species